CGCAGCGGCGCGUGCGCACGAGGGUCUCGCGGGCUCCCGCUGAGAGGGGGGUCGGGGGGGCGCCGGCGGAGUGACGCGCGCGGAGGGUGAGGGUCAGCCGGGCCGAGGAGCUAAUGAAAUCCUCACAGGUGACUUCACGCAGCCGUUAACCACCCUGGGCCGUGAGAGUUUGGAGACUUCUGAUCAAUUACAUACAAGUAGUUUUCAUGGACCAAUAUCUUUAAAGGCCAUUUGGAAGCUUCAAACAGGGGACGGGGGAAGAAAAAAAACAUCUAAAAUUUAUUCUCCAACAAGACAGACAGCAUCAGCAGGCCUGAGAAAGGAAUGCCACACCCAUGGAGGUCCCAGGAAGGCAAAUGGAAAAUGAUAAUUGAGCAAGCUGAAAGCCGCCCAAAACAUAAACUCUCACUUUGAAACCAUCAUCUGACUGAAAUGGAGAAUCAUAAAACUGAGAAUAAUGAAUAUAGAAUGACUAGAGUAUAUUUACAACAUUGGAUGGCCAGAGGAUAUCAGGAGAGCCAGGGCGGAGGCCAUUUCACCCUGUAGAUAGAGGUCUGGUCACCCAGCACUUACAGAGGUGGAACUGAAUGUCUUUAAAACUGAGUCCUGUGAAGCAGUACUGAAUCCAAACAUUGUAAUUUUGGCGGGGAUGGUGAGAAGUGAAGCAAAAAAGGCUAAAGUUAUCUAGAUCAUUCUAAGUCAGAGCCACAUGUGUGCAUGUGAGGAAUCUUCCAGAGGAAGUAUCGAAUAAAUAAAAGCAUGUUGUACAAUGAUGAUAAUAUAUGGUAUGUUAUGGUCUAUAAAAAGUUUUAAAACAUGCAAAAUGAAGCGAUCAUUUAUGAGUUCAUCCAUACGCUGUCCAAGCGUGAAGAUGUGGAAAGGAAAUCAGAUCCCCAAAUGAAAGAUGGAAGUUGCUUCUAGGAGGAAGAAGGGCCACGUUAGGAGGCUUGGCAAGGAGUGUGCACGAUUGGAGGUGGUAUCGACAUUGUUUUAUUUCUUAAGCUGAGUGAGGGCACAUGAUGUUCAUUAUAUUAUUAUCUAGGCCUUUAAUAUGUCCCAAUAUGUUUUUUAGAAGAAAAAAAUUGACAACCUAAGCUGUUGGUGAACUACUGUUAAGGAAUGGAAGCAAAGACUCUCUUAACUCCUUUCUAGUGAUUUAAGCACAAGAUUUAGACAAGUUCAAUCCCUGGAUGGCAUAAAAUAGGCUCAUGAUAAGACAAAGGCAGAACACUAAUGGGCAGAACUGAGGCCCCAUUGACAGAGCUACGCAGGAUGAGCUGUGGUCAUUGAAGCUGUAGCAGUACCGGAACCAGAAGACCCUGGGCACAGAUCCCAUACAUGCUGAAUUUACAGUCAGCUCAUCUGAGGAGCCCUGAGUCUGAGUGACUCCCCGAUACUCCCUGUUGUACAGGGGCAGGCGAUAUGGAGUUUUUACAUAUUUUAGUAUUUCACAUGGCAUCAACUUACCUGCUGUCCCAUGGUGCUUGGAUCAAUAAAUGUCACCAGGUCUACAGAAAAGUAACCAACCACAUUUCUCAUUUUACAAGCAUUUCCGAUUUUGAGGCACAAAGAGGUGAGAACUUGGGGAUCCACCGAAGUCUGAGGCAUGGUGGUACCAGAAGAGAUGAAGGGGCCUUCUGCAUGAAGCUGGUCCCCCGUUGACAGCACUCUGAUUUCUCCAUUGGGUUCUAUCAGCAUGUCCACCGUCAGGUUGGUGACACUUUCUACAGACCACGCUGGUGAAAAUACCAGAGUAAUAAGUCAGUGAAUUCCAAAAGUGAAGAUUUUGGUCGGAUCUGGUGCCACGAUAGGAAAGUCCGAGUCUUCUCAAGGGCAUCCCUGUCUCACCCAGGGGCACGGAGGACAGACGUCCAGAAGCAAAUGGCACAGUCGGAGGCAGAGAGUAAAAACUCAUUCUGAAUCUGUUCCAAAUACCCGUGUCUGCUCUGUGGUUUUCAGCAAAGCAGAUAUUUCCAAAAGAACUCCAAGGGGGACUUCCUGGAUGUGAAAACACGAACCAAUUCUCGUUUCUCUCAUCUUUUGCUUUAUUCCUUCCUUCCACGCUGUUAUUGCGAAAAACUGGCAGUUAAAUUCAAUUGAUUCAGAAUAUUCCGGAUCCAUAUGGCCGCCAACCCUGGAGCUGAGGCGGCCAUAGCGCCUCACUGCUGUUCUCAAGCAUUUGCCUCUCCCCUAGUCCCCAGAUGGUGGGAGUAGCAUUUAAACCUCCUUUUCUCUGCCUUGUACAAUAGACCUUGGCACCAUUUCAACUGUUUACUCCGGUAAUUAACAGCUCUGAUACCACAACAAUUACAACUCCUACACUCUCACCACAAUAAUGCUAUGAAUUAGUGAGAGCUAAUGGCUGGAAGGUAGAGUGUUUCCAGACUGUGAGAUCUGUGCAUUUUUAGAAUAAAAUAAAAGGUACAAACAGCACGCUUGCAGUAGACAAUGAUUACCUAGUAAUUAGUUUACACAAAGCUUCCUAUUUAAUGGCAAAACGCUGUAAUUAACGUGUGACAGAAAAUCAAAGGGUACUUUGUAAGCAUAUGAAAAAUUAACACUGCAGGCCCAUAGCUUUAUGUACUGAUUAGAAGCAUAUUAAAUCAAUAGGACACACAAA